GUUGAACGCUGGCGGCAUACCUUACACAUGCGAGUCGAACGGUAACGCGGGGCAACCUGGCGACGAGUGGCGAACGGGUGAGUAAUGCAUCGGAACGUGCCCAGUAGUGGGGGAUAGCCCGGCGAAAGCCGGAUUAAUACCGCACACGACCUACGGGUGAAAGGGGGGGAUCGCAAGACCUCUCGCUAUUGGAGCGGCCGAUGUCAGAUUAGGGAGUUGGUGGGGUAAAGGCCUACCAAGCCGACGAUCUGUAGCUGGUCUGAGAGGACGACCAGCCGAACUGGGACGGAGAGACGGCCCAGACUCCUACGGGAGGCAGCAGUGGGGAAUUGUGGACAAUGGGCGCAAGCCUGAUUCAGCCAUGCCGCGUGCGGGAAGAAGGCCUUCGGGUUGUAAACCGCUUUUGUCAGGGAAGAAAUCUUCUGGGUUAAUACCUCGGGAGGAUGACGGUACCUGAAGAAUAAGCACCGGCUAACUGCGUGCCAGCCGCCGCUGUAACAC
rnacentral:rRNA from 1 species